rnacentral:lncRNA from 1 species
CCAAAAUCCAAAUUUUUAGAAGAGAAACCAAGAAAAAAAACAAACUGUCAUCUUGUUUCAGAAUAGCACCAGAGUAUAGAUCCCUUGGAACAAAUCCUUCCCAAAGAUGCUCCUGAAAGACAAAGGGGUUGGAAAAUCCAGAAGACGUCUACCAAGAUUGGGGACCCUAGAGGUGAACUUAGAAGGGUGUCUGAGGAGGAAUUCCAGAUCAAGUAGGAGGAGCAUUUUCAGAUGAGACCUUCAAAGUCAACCAUACCAAAGACAGGAGUAGAAAGGCAAGGCCUAGAGUCAAGUUGGAAGUUGGAGAAGCAGGGAAGAGCAGAGAAAGGCACAGAGCAGAGUCAGUGGAAUGGGCAGAGGGUUGCACGAACUUCAGAAGAACAAGACCACCCUUAUGGCUUGAUUUUUACAGGUACUUGCCUAGGCGAAGUGGCGGCGGGGGGGCGGGGGGUUCUGUUAAAUGUUCUUUGAUGAAACAGGUCCACCUCCUCAUAAAUGUCCUUCUAUUCCCUGGUUAUGCAAGGCCCUAUAGCCACGUGCUAAGCACAACAGGCAACCAGCUCUGAUGAUAACCUUAGCUCCCGGGUCCCGCCAUGAGAACCCCAGCCUUGGCAGAGGACAUUCCACAAG